rnacentral:siRNA from 1 species
UCACAAUGCCUAACUUUCUUUGA